GUUUCCGUGGUGUAGCGGUUAUCACGUUCGCUUUACACGCGAAAGGUCCCCAGUUCGAAACUGGGCGGAAACA
rnacentral:tRNA from 1 species